rnacentral:rRNA from 1 species
CCUACGGGAGGCAGCAGUGGGGAAUUUUGGACAAUGGGCGAAAGCCUGAUCCAGCAAUGCCGCGUGAGUGAAGAAGGCCUUCGGGUUGUAAAGCUCUUUUGUCAGGGAAGAAACGGUGAGAGCUAAUAUCUCUUGCUAAUGACGGUACCUGAAGAAUAAGCACCGGCUAACUACGUGCCAGCAGCCGCGGUAAUACGUAGGGUGCAAGCGUUAAUCGGAAUUACUGGGCGUAAAGCGUGCGCAGGCGGUUUUGUAAGUCUGAUGUGAAAUCCCCGGGCUCAACCUGGGAAUUGCAUUGGAGACUGCAAGGCUAGAAUCUGGCAGAGGGGGGUAGAAUUCCACGUGUAGCAGUGAAAUGCGUAGAUAUGUGGAGGAACACCGAUGGCGAAGGCAGCCCCCUGGGUCAAGAUUGACGCUCAUGCACGAAAGCGUGGGGAGCAAACAGGAUUAGAUACCCUGGUAGUCCACGCCCUAAACGAUGUCUACUAGUUGUCGGGUCUUAAUUGACUUGGUAACGCAGCUAACGCGUGAAGUAGACCGCCUGGGGAUACGGUCGCAAGNUUAAAACUCAAAAGGAAUUGACGGCNGAGAGAGACGAGGACGACGACGAGGGAGGAGG